rnacentral:lncRNA from 1 species
AAUACCCACGAAAUCCAAUGAAUACAUUCUGUCAAACUAAUAUAUAAGUACAUGAUCAAACUAACACAAUUAACAUGUUAUUAAAACUUAAGUGAGUUAUUCAGCAAACAAAUCUCAACACCAUUUAUAUCACAAGAUUCCCCAAGAAUGCAUCUGUCCUGAAUUUAACUCGGUUAACAGGUUAUUUCCAAGUCUUAUAACAGUCCCAAAUCUAAUACAACUCAACGAAUUUGAAUAUUCAGAAUAAAAACUACCUAGCAUACACCAAGAAUCAAAUAACGAAAACAGACAUUAUAUAGAACUACUGCAGAUAGAACUAUUAUCAUUUCUUAACUUCAUUUUCGUUUCCCUCUUCAAAUUGGAUUUCACAUUGGGUAAAGUUCAAAAAAUGUACCUGUAAAUGGACAAAGAAAAAUAGGUAAGGAUCAGUAAGCUACAUCAAAGAUAUCAAACAGGAAGCAGCAAUCAGCUAAACCCAGAUUUGAACAGUCAAGAUAGUGAAAUCAACUUUAGGCAUUCAGUAGAAUAGUAAACCCAACCACAAGCUUGAACCAGAAUUUUCCAAAAUCACAAUUCUAAUCCAUUUCUACCCUCAGAUGAAUCAAAGUUGUUUGGAAAUUGAAAGAUUCAAAAAUCACUGAAAAAAGUUCAAUGAAACAGUUAAAUCAGGCGUUUGUAUUUCUGGAUUUUUUAUCUCUGAAUCUUCUUCCCCCCAAUCUUACUUGAAUGUCAAGUUAUGAUGCCUUUAUAGGCAAGGUUCUAGGGAAGCAAAAAUGACUUCAGUUUUUGCCCUUUACUCCUUUUUUAAUUUUUGUUUUUGCUAGUUGAUCCUUAAUUUAAAAAUCAGGUUUUCACACAAGUCCCAACCCCAGCUUCUAAGAAGCUUCCCAAUUCUGUUACUCAUAGAUUCCCUCCCCCAAUUUUCCAAACUACCCCUCGAGCCAUGGUUAUUUACUCUAGGAAACCAACCUAGCAGAACCCAUGUUGAUACUUAGACAGACUGAAUGGGCCACGGGUCAAUUUGGCCCAACUGUUCAACCCCAAAUGAACCAGAAUAGACCCAAAAACCCAACCCUCGAUAUCAAAGAUCUACUCGGCCCAACUAGCAAUUAUCUGACUACCAAAUAACACAGAACAAUUAAAUUUCAGCCUAAAUGGUUUACUAACUAAACUUAACCAAACUACCAAUUGACAACUAACCUAACAAGACUCCGACUACUCAUGCAUGAAUGAAUAGAUUCCGGAUCAAAUGAAGAAUGAUUCAAGAAGAGGAGAAGAAACAGAAAAUUUGAAAACAAACGAGGGACAGAUUAAACUAAAAAGAAAGAAAGAAAAAAUACCUGAGAAAAGUUUGAAAAAUAAAAGGGAAGCCUGGGUCUUUAGAUCCUCGGAUUUUCCGGCCAAAUCUGAGGUUAAUCGUGUGCUCUUACGAAGAACAUACGAAUAAACUCAGAUUCGGCACGAAAUUUUUCCAAAACUUGACUUGGGAUUUCUAGGGUUCGUUUCUGAUCUAAGAUUCGAGGAGCUGGGGCAACAUUCGAGGGAAACGGAGUGGGGAUUCGGAAUGAGGGGGUCAGGGUGGUUCGGUGGUGUGAUUUUGGUGGUGUUUGGAGGUGGCGCCGCCACCAGAGGCCGGGGAUUUGGGGGCGGCUCAGCUAGGGUUUCGGGGUGUUUCUGAGAGAUGAAAGGUUGGGGAGAUGAGACCGGGGGGGUGCAAGGCAUUUGGACACUUUUAUAGGUGUGACCCAAUACGUUCCGGACCGUCAGAUGAAGCAAGAUGAAGGGCCAAGAUUUGUUAAGGCAAACUGAACUUAAAACGACGUCGUUUCAACGGCCUGGGUGAUGGGCUACCUGGACCGGGUAAGACAAAGGACUUUAGGGCCGAGUAUUGGGUAAUUUUGUUUGGCUACGAACAAUUAAAUGGGUUUUAGCCCAGAUCUGGAUCUCCUUUCACUUCUUUCCUUUUCUUUUUCAAUUUCAAAAUUCUUUCCUUUUCCAAAAUUAAAAUAAAACCUCAAUUAAUUAAUAAUAAUUUUUAAACUAAAUUAACCUACCCAAUUAGAUUAAUCACUCAUCAUGGUAUUUACAAUAAUUAAUUAAAUCCUAAAUUUAAAGUAAAAUUAUACAAUUCAAAAUUAAAAAGUAAAAAUGCAAAAAUGAAUUAUUUUUGUGAUUUUCAUUUUUUAUAAAACAAACUAAUUUGCUAAUUAAUCUAAAAAUAUAAAAUUAAAUCCUAAAUGCAGAUGCAACGUAUUUUUGUAUUUUUCAUGAAUUAAAUAUAAUAAACGUGCACAGACAAAUGCAAAUAAUUAACAAAAAAUGCCACGAAAUCCAACAAAAUCGCAGACACUGAAAGAUGGAGAAAUCUGUGUCUCCAUUAACUGAACAUUCUGAAUUGAAACAACUAAUCUUAACUAAGCAUGCUCACAACCAGCAGCAAAAUGAACUGACACCUGCUUCUAUUAUUGGAAUACUCUGGACCAAUUCUUCCCCUUUAAACACAAUUCCAACAAGCACGAAAUCCAAUGAAUACAUUCUGCCAAACUAAUAUAUAAGUACAUGAUCAAACUAACACAAUUAACAUGUUAUCAAAACUUAAGUGAGCUAUUCAGCAAAUAAAUCUCAAUACCAUUUAUAUCACAAGAUUCCCCAAGAAUGCAUCUGUCCUGAAUUUAACUCGGUUAACAGGUUAUUUCCAAGUCUUAUAACA